rnacentral:rRNA from 1 species
UCUAAUACCGUAAUAGGACCCCUUGGCGCAUGCCUUGGGGUGGAAAGCUUUUGCGGUGUGGGAUGGGCCCGCGGCCUAUCAGCUUGUUGGUGGGGUCACGGCCUACCAAGGCUCCGACGGGUAGCCGGCCUGAGAGGGUGUCCGGCCACACUGGGACUGAGAUACGGCCCAGACUCCUACGGGAGGCAGCAGUGGGGAAUAUUGCACAAUGGGCGCAAGCCUGAUGCAGCGACGCCGCGUGGGGGAUGACGGCCUUCGGGUUGUAAACCUCUUUCACCAUCGACGAAGGUCCGGGUUUUCUCGGAUUGACGGUAGGUGGAGAAGAAGCACCGGCCAACUACGUGCCAGCAGCCGCGGUAAUACGUAGGGUGCGAGCGUUGUCCGGAAUUACUGGGCGUAAAGAGCUCGUAGGUGGUUUGUCGCGUUGUUCGUGAAAACUCACGGCUUAACUGUGAGCGUGCGGGCGAUACGGGCAGACUGGAGUACUGCAGGGGAGACUGGAAUUCCUGGUGUAGCGGUGGAAUGCGCAGAUAUCAGGAGGAACACCGGUGGCGAAGGCGGGUCUCUGGGCAGUAACUGACGCUGAGGAGCGAAAGCGUGGGGAGCGAACAGGAUUAGAUACCCUGGUAGUCCACGCCGUAAACGGUGGGUACUAGGUGUGGGUUUCCUUCCUUGGGAUCCGUGCCGUAGCUAACGCAUUAAGUACCCCGCCUGGGGAGUACGGCCGCAAGGCUAAAACUCAAAGGAAUUGACCGGGGGCCCGCACAAGCGGCGGAGCAUGUGGAUUAAUUCGAUGCAACGUCGAAGAAC